UCGCCACUUGUCGCUCGCCGCGGUUGCCCGCCAAAAUAGCUCGUGCUUAUUUUAAGACCCCAAUGUACCUUCGGAUCGUAUCAAUCAGAGACGGGGAGGUCUUUGCGAAAAAACGAAAACUGUGAACUGCUAACUGUUCAUCAGAAAGAUUCUCUAACGCGCUCUACGACGACUGAUCACUGUACCCGAGCAAGGCCUUCAAGAUCCCAUGUAUCGUAAUGCUACAAACUAAAUAACAAAGAUACGCAAAUGCGGGUGUUCUUCAUUAAUACAUCAGUACGAUACAAGCGCUCGCAGUUAGAAGGUCUAAAGAAAUGUCCAACGCGAUAAACUUAAUAAAGAGAUGUAUGAGCUUAA